AUACGAAGGGGGCUAGCGUUGUUCGGAAUUACUGGGCGUAAAGCGCGCGUAGGCGGAUUGGUCAGUUAGGGGAGAAAUCCCAGGGCUUAACCCUGGAACUGCCUCUAAUACUGCCAGUCUUGAGUUCGGGAGAGGUGAGUGGAAUUCCUAGUGUAGAGGUGAAAUUCGUAGAUAUUAGGAAGAACACCAGUGGCGAAGGCGGCUCACUGGCCCGAUACUGACGCUGAGGCGCGAAAGCGUGGGGAGCAAACAGGAUUAGAUACCCCAGUAGUCC
rnacentral:rRNA from 1 species